rnacentral:rRNA from 1 species
UACGUAGGGCGCAAGCGUUGUCCGGAAUUAUUGGGCGUAAAGAGCUCGUAGGCGGUUUGUCGCGUCUGCUGUGAAAACCUAAGGCUCAACCUUGGGCUUGCAGUGGGUACGGGCAGACUAGAGUGCGGUAGGGGUGACUGGAAUUCCUGGUGUAGCGGUGGAAUGCGCAGAUAUCAGGAGGAACACCGAUGGCGAAGGCAGGUCACUGGGCCGCAACUGACGCUGAGGAGCGAAAGCAUGGGGAGCAAACCGG